ACAAACUUGGUCAUUUAGAGGAAGUAAAAGUCGUAACAAGGUCUUCGUAGGUGAACCUGCGAAGGGAUCAUUACCGAGUGAGGGCCCCCGGCCCGACCUCCAACCCUUUGUCGAACUCCCGUGUUGCCUCGGGGGCGACCCGGCCCUGGCCGCCGGGACCCCCGAUGGACCCCAUCAAAACUCUUUGCGUACAUGCGUCGGAGUAUGAAGUAAAUCAAUCAAAACUUUCAACAACGGAUCUCUUGGUUCUGGCAUCGAUGAAGAACGCAGC
rnacentral:misc_RNA from 1 species